GGGGGAUAUUGCACAAUGGGCGAAAGCCUGAUGCAGCGACGCCGCGUGAGGGAAGACGGUUUUCGGAUUGUAAACCUCUGUCUUCAGGGACGAUAAUGACGGUACCUGAGGAGGAAGCACCGGCUAACUACGUGCCAGCAGCCGCGGUAAUACGUAGGGUGCAAGCGUUGUCCGGAAUUACUGGGUGUAAAGGGAGCGUAGGCGGGAUUGUAAGUUGGAUGUGUAAUGUACCGGCUCAACCGGUAACUUGCAUUCAAAACUGCAGUUCUUGAGUGAAGUAGAGGCAGGCGGAAUUCCUAGUGUAGCGGUGAAAUGCGUAGAUAUUAGGAGGAACACCAGUGGCGAAGGCGGCCUGCUGGGCUUUUACUGACGCUGAGGCUCGAAAGCAUGGGUAGCAAAC
rnacentral:rRNA from 1 species